rnacentral:lncRNA from 1 species
UCCAGUCAUUCACCCCAAAACUCCUCUCCUUUGCUUUUAUCUCCUUCUGGUUAUGAGAAAAAUAAGCUGGCGUGAGUGCCAAAUGCCCAGUACGAACCAAUGGCCGCUCUCUCUCUCACACACACACACAAAGACACAAAAUACUCAUGGGGGUACUCCAGCCAUUACGAAAUUAUUUUGGGGAUAUAAUGGGUGAGGUAAUUGUUAUCUAAUUUUUAACAUUGGGUACCAAACAAAAAAUUGCUUAAACGCGGUAAUUAAUCUUACGAGUCAAACACA